GCAAUACAGCAGUGGCAGACGGGUGAGUAACACGUGGGAACCUUCCUAGGGGUACGGAACAACUCAGGGAAACUUGAGCUAAUACCGUAUACGUCCGUGAGGAGAAAGAUUUAUCGCCCUUAGACGGGCCCGCGUCGGAUUAGGUAGUUGGUGGGGUAACGGCCUACCAAGCCUACGAUCCGUAGCUGAUCUGAGAGGAUGAUCAGCCACACUGGNGACUGAGACACGGCCCAGACUCCUACGGGAGGCAGCAGUGGGGAAUCUUGGACAAUGGGCGCAAGCCUGAUCCAGCCAUGCCGCGUGAGUGAAGAAGGCCUUAGGGUUGUAAAGCUCUUUUGCCAGGGACGAUAAUGACGGUACCUGGAGAAUAAGCCCCGGCAAACUUCGUGCCAGCAGCCGCGGUAAUACGAAGGGGGCUAGCGUUGUUCGGAAUUACUGGGCGUAAAGCGCACGUAGGCGGGUUGUUAAGUCAGGGGUGAAAUCCCGGAGCUCAACUCCGGAACUGCCUUUGAUACUGGCAAUCUAGAGACUGGAAGAGGUUAGUGGAAUUCCCAGUGUAGAGGUGAAACUCGUAGAUAUUGGGAAGAACACCAGUGGCGAAGGCGGCUAACUGGUCCAGUACUGACGCUGAGGUGCGAAAGCGUGGGGAGCAACAGGAUUAGAUACCCUGGUAGUCCACGCCGUAAACUAUGGAUGCUAGCCGUCAGCGAGCUUGCUCGUUGGUGGCGCAGCUAACGCAUUAAGCAUCCCGCCUGGGGAGUACGGUCGCAAGAUUAAAACUCAAAUGAAUUGACGG
rnacentral:rRNA from 1 species